rnacentral:rRNA from 1 species
UAGCUAAAUGCGGAAGAGAUAAGUGCUGAAAGCAUCUAAGCACGAAACUUGCCCCGAGAUGAGUUCUCCCUGAGACUAUAAGUCUCCUGAAGGAACGUUGAAGACUACGACGUUGAUAGGUCGGGUGUGUAAGCGCAGCGAUGCGUUGAGCUAACCGAUACUAAUGAACCGUGAGGCUUAACCUU